GAAAGUUACUUCGGUACAUCGGUGACAGGUGGUGCAUGGUUGUCGUCAGCUCGUGUCGUGAGAUGUUGGGUUAAGUCCCGCAACGAGCGCAACCCCUAUUGUUAGUUGCCAUCAUUCAGUUGGGCACUCUAGCGAGACUGCCGGUAAUAAACCGGAGGAAGGUGGGAUGACAUCAAAUCAUCAUGCCCCUUAUGACCUGGGCUACACACGUGCUACAAUGGUUGGUACAACGAGUUGCGAGUCGGUGACGGCGAGCUAAUCUCUUAAAGCCAAUCUCAGUUCGGAUUGUAGGCUGCAACUCGCCUACAUGAAGUCGGAAUCGCUAGUAAUCGCGGAUCAGCACGCCGCGGUGAAUACGUUCCCGGGCCUU
rnacentral:rRNA from 1 species